AGUGAACGCUGGCGGUAGGCCUAACACAUGCAAGUCGAACGGCAGCACAGUAAGAGCUUGCUCUUACGGGUGGCGAGUGGCGGACGGGUGAGGAAUACAUCGGAAUCUACUUUUUCGUGGGGGAUAACGUAGGGAAACUUACGCUAAUACCGCAUACGACCUACGGGUGAAAGCAGGGGAUCUUCGGACCUUGCGCGAUUGAAUGAGCCGAUGUCGGAUUAGCUAGUUGGCGGGGUAAAGGCCCACCAAGGCGACGAUCCGUAGCUGGUCUGAGAGGAUGAUCAGCCACACUGGAACUGAGACACGGUCCAGACUCCUACGGGAGGCAGCAGUGGGGAAUAUUGGACAAUGGGCGCAAGCCUGAUCCAGCCAUACCGCGUGGGUGAAGAAGGCCUUCGGGUUGUAAAGCCCUUUUGUUGGGAAAGAAAAGCAGCAGGUUAAUACCCCGCUGUUCCGACGGUACCCAAAGAAAAAGCACCGGCUAACUUCGUG
rnacentral:rRNA from 1 species